CUGGCUCAGGAUGAACGCUGGCGGCGUGCUUAACACAUGCAAGUCGAGCGGGCAAUUUAUCUAGCACUGAUUACUUCAAAUGGCUAUCGCCAGUGUAAUCAUGAGUUUCUACCUUUAAUAAGGAAAAAAAAGAAAUUCAUGUACGCAAAUAGUGAUAAUACAUUUUAGUGGAGUGAUGAGUGCUGGAUAAAUUGCUAGCGGCGGACGGGUGCGUAACACGUGGGUAACCUGCCCCUAUCACUGGGAUAACACACUGAAAAGUGUGCUAAUACCAGAUAACAUAAGCUUUUGGCAUCAUUAGCUUAUCAAAGAAUUUCGGAUAGGGAUGGGCCCGCGUCUGAUUAGCUAGUUGGUGAGGUAACGGCUCACCAAGGCAACGAUCAGUAGCCGACCUGAGAGGGUGAUCGGCCACACUGGAACUGAGACACGGUCCAGACUCCUACGGGAGGCAGCAGUGGGGAAUAU
rnacentral:rRNA from 1 species